GAAGUGCUCCCAGAUGAACUUGGCCGAGAGCAUCACCAUGGCCACGCCAAGUAGGCGGGGCUAGGACCCCACCCACACCCCCUCCCUGGAAUCCCAGGGCCCACCUGGGUGAUGUUAUCCCAGAGACAGGGACAAGAGAUGAGAGGAUGGAAAUGUCUCUGGGAAAAAGGCUGCAGGAGCUGGAGGUGAUGAGCAGAGCAGGCGAAGGAAAGGGAGGCCCCUCCUCCCUCCAUGUUAGAGAAGGGAGCCCUAGAUCUGGCCACCAGCGGCCUGUGCACACCUGGGGCUGAGGGCACACAGGGCUGCACAUACACACUCAAGGCCACUGUGAGAACAGGUGAGCAGGGCCAGAGGGCUAUGGAAAGCCCGGCUGAAGGCUGCACCUCCAGGCUGAAGAGAGCUUUACCGGCAUCCGCCAGGAAGCCUGGGCUCUGGGGCUGUGUCAUUGUAGAUGACCAUUUCCAGGUCGUGGCCACAGCCCCGGUUCUGGUCACAGCUGGGCCACCAAUCCUCCUGCGCCACCCACCACUUAGCCAUCGGGCCGUCUUCAGGGCAUCGGCCGGCCUCAGCUGCUGCAGCCAGACCCUGGCGUUGCGGAAGGCUGGCCAGUCCACAUCCUGCAGCCUACGAGGAGGUCAGGUCUUUGUCAGCAAAGGUGGGAAACCAGGGGAGCGGCGGCACCAGGCUCCAGAGACAUUUGAAAUGACUUCAGAAGACCCAGGGCCACUCAGGGUGACCACAUCGGACAGCUGCCUCCCACAGGCUGUGACGGAUGUUUAAGCAAGGGAUCGAUGGUCACCUGACUCUCAGGAGUGCAGGAGAGGCCACUGAGACCCAUUCAGAAGGGACUGGGUGUUGGUCCCUGUGGACUCGGCCUCUGGCUGGUGGUGAGGAGGAGGAUUUCUCACCACCCAUCCUCUGGCCCCUGCUGCCCAAGGGAGCAGACUCCUGUGAGCUGGGUUCCGGGAAGUCCGUCUCCAGCAGGAACUCCAGGCCAAGCGCGCAUCUCUGUGAUCGUGUGUCACCAUGGCGGUGCGUGCGUGAGUGCAUGCGUGUGCACUGGUCUGUGGCCUGUGGUGCGUGAGUUCCACUAGGACCCAUGUGAGGUGGAGGGUCUUCCACCUCCCCUCCCAUUCGGGCCCUCCCUGUGCCACACAGACACCCAUCUGUGCCUUCCCCUUCUGUGCCACCAAAAAUGGAAGAGAUAGACACUUAAAAGAAGCAACUCAAAUGGAAUGAAAUCGUUUCUGUUGGGGAAUGCUCAAGACGUUCAAUCAUCUUAGAAAAUCCCACCCCACCUCCCGCUGCAGAUUAAUUACUGUAAGUGCAACUCCAAUCGGGCUGGUGACCCCCCAGGAAACCUCUGAAGCUGUCCCAGGCUGUUCCCAACAUGGGACCUCCACUCUGGCACACCAGGACCCGAGGCCCCUGACAGGCUCCUCGUUCCUGCCUCGCUCAAGGCUCAGGUCCCCCACCUGAAAUACCCCCUCCCACCAGCAUCUCCUGCCUCGCUCCUGCUGCCAGGUCCCCAAAAGCUCUUGUUCAUGAGCUCGCCUGCCAUCCACAGCCCCCACCAGAACCCAAGUGGCUGUGGAAUUCGCUGCCCUGAUUCUCUGCCCAGAGCCUCGGUCCAGACUGUGUUCCCUGGCGAAUUAGUGUUCAGCAUUUUUGUUUAUUUGUUUGUUCUUUAACAAAAGUUGUUUUGGUUUGAGAUUCAGCAAAAAUACACACUGCAUUCAGCUUCCUCUCCAUUCAGGAUUCAGUAAAUUGGUUGUUUUCCUGUC
rnacentral:lncRNA from 1 species